UGUGCCAUACCAGUGUGCAGUGUCAG
rnacentral:piRNA from 1 species